rnacentral:rRNA from 1 species
AGUGAACGCUGGCGGUAGGCCUAACACAUGCAAGUCGAACGGCAGCACAGUAAGAGCUUGCUCUUACGGGUGGCGAGUGGCGGACGGGUGAGGAAUACAUCGGAAUCUACUUUUUCGUGGGGGAUAACGUAGGGAAACUUACGCUAAUACCGCAUACGACCUACGGGUGAAAGCAGGGGAUCUUCGGACCUUGCGCGAUUGAAUGAGCCGAUGUCGGAUUAGCUAGUUGGCGGGGUAAAGGCCCACCAAGGCGACGAUCCGUAGCCGGUCUGAGAGGAUGAACAGCCACACUGGAACUGAGACACGGUCCAGACUCCUACGGGAGGCAGCAGUGGGGAAUAUUGGACAAUGGGCGCAAGCCUGAUCCAGCCAUACCGCGUGGGUGAAGAAGGCCUUCGGGUUGUAAAGCCCUUUUGUUGGGAAAGAAAAGCAGCAGGUUAAUACCCCGCUGUUCUGACGGUACCCAAAGAAUAAGCACCGGCUAACUUCGUG